CCAUGUGUGUUUGCUUGUGCCUCGUCUUUGUUCAGGUGAAGCUGAUGACUUCUCUUGGUUUUUGCUCCUCUCCUGUUUUCAUGGGCUCACAGCGCAGCUCAGUUGCCGAACCCCUGUGCCAAGCUGUUUCCCUUUGUCAAACCUGAACACUGUCGGAUCAGAGGAUUCAGAUUAAACUACUAAUGUCUGUCUGUC